GAUGAACGCUAGCGGCAGGCUUAAUACAUGCAAGUCGAGGGGCAGCAUGGUGUAGCAAUACACUGAUGGCGACCGGCAAACGGGUGCGGAACACGUACAGAACCUUCCUUCGAGCGGGGAAUAGCCCAGAGAAAUUUGGAUUAAUACCCCAUAGUAUAAUGAAGAGGCAUCUCUUUAUUAUUAAAGAUUUAUCACUUGAAGAUGGCUGUGCGGCUGAUUAGGUAGUUGGCGGGGUAACGGCCCACCAAGCCUGCGAUCAGUAACUGGUGUGAGAGCACGACCAGUCACACGGGCACUGAGACACGGGCCCGACUCCUACGGGAGGCAGCAGUAAGGAAUAUUGGUCAAUGGACGAAAGUCUGAACCAGCCAUGCCGCGUGGAGGAUGAAGGUCCUCUGGAUUGUAAACUUCUUUUAUAUGGGACGAAAAAAGGCUUUUCUAAGUCGUCUGACGGUACCAUAUGAAUAAGCACCGGCUAACUCCGUGCCAGCAGCCGCCGUAA
rnacentral:rRNA from 1 species